rnacentral:rRNA from 1 species
GACGAACGCUGGCGGCGUGCUUAACACAUGCAAGUCGAACGGAAAGGCCCUGCUUUUGUGGGGUGCUCGAGUGGCGAACGGGUGAGUAACACGUGAGUAACCUGCCCUUGACUUUGGGAUAACUUCAGGAAACUGGGGCUAAUACCGGAUAGGAGCUCCUGCUGCAUGGUGGGGGUUGGAAAGUUUCGGCGGUUGGGGAUGGACUCGCGGCUUAUCAGCUUGUUGGUGGGGUAGUGGCUUACCAAGGCUUGGACGGGUAGCCGGCCUGAGAGGGUGACCGGCCACAUUGGGACUGAGAGACGGCCCAGACUCCUACGGGAGGCAGCAGUGGGGAAUAUUGCACAAUGGGCGGAAGCCUGAGGCAGCAACGCCGCGUGCGGGAUGACGGCCUUCGGGUUGUAAACCGCUUUCGCCUGUGACGAAGCGUGAGUGACGGUAAUGGGUAAAGAAGCACCGGCUAACUACGUG